UCUGAAAUUAUGUUAGUAUUGAGUAGGAAACUUCACAUGGCGGCUGCAGGAAACUGGCCAUUCAUUGGAUGGCAGCUAUUGAAUUCUUAAAAUAAGAAAACCUGAUGCUAUGCAUUUAUACAAUGGAACCUUGCAUAGUUGCAUAUAAUUGUUCUACAUAUUAUUUCUACUUAUAUGAACAUCUCUUAAACAACGACUGGUAAAUGAAUGUAUAUCUUCAAUAGGGGCCAUGCAUAUGAGAUGGAUGCGCUUAGUACUGUCCAUCUAAUUGGAGGUGUAGAUCAAUAUACUGUACUUGGCACGACAGCUGCAGAUUAUGCCUUGAGAAAAUAACACGAUAGGAGAUCACCAGAUGUAAUUUCUUAUGGAGGAGAGCUAUGUCAGGUAAUUACAAAAUACGCUGCUCAUUGACUGUUUGGUUAUAGGGGAGAGGUAGAUUCCUCUACAGAAUAUCUGCACAUUGACUGCUUUCCAUAGGCUGGGAGCCAAGUUUUGCCAUCAAUUUUUAUAUAACAUCAUUAGUGCUGAUAGAACAUCUAGUUGAUUUAUACUAUUUGCGAAGCAAGGCCCAGUAAAACAUGUACCAACAGCUGAUAAUGAACUCUUGCUAGAAAACAAAGGAAAAAUAAUCAGGAGUUUAGAGUGGUUACAAAUGCAAAUAGUUCAUAGAAUCUGGUUAAAGAUAAGUACUAUAUAAUAAGCCAGAGGUGCUUAGCAUUUCAGGCGAAGUACUAUAGCUGGAGGAAUGCCACCACAUAAAUGUUCAUGAAUCUGAGAACAUAUCAUGUGUUGUGAGCGCUGGUGGGGGUGAUGAAGACAGAUUUGUCCAGUGAGAUCUGGGCGGUCGUGGACAGAACAAGUGAUGGUCGACAGAGGAUUGCAGAAGUGGAAUUCAAGCCCAGUAGCGAUGCCAGGGAGAGAAUGCAGUUGAGAAGAGGAGGCAAACAUAGGCAACACAUGUAAAUAUCCCGGCUAAAAGCAUCACCCAUAAAUCUGGUAAAUGCGUACAAACCGGACACAAUUGUCCCAUUGUAUACACACUUAAUUGCUGACAAAUCUUCUUCAAAGACAUUUUCUUCCCCUCGACUUAGUUGCAGCUAAAAACUGAAAGAUUGAGAUUUAUGCAACUAAUUGAUAUUCCUGUGCAGAGCGUAAUGGUCAUAAUACCUGUGGAGAUGGCAGAGUAAGGCAGAAUGCUAGGAGGGAGGCAUGAGGUGAGGAAGAGCGCCGCUGCUGACGAUGCCAAUGUGCGUUGACUGUGUCACGCAUGCGGUGUGCCUGGAUCACCGCAUCCAGCAUCCAUCCACCUAUACCGACCACAACGUUGGGAGCAACCACCGCUCUCCUCUUCCUCCUCCGAGUAGGAAAUACCAUACAACUAAAGAUCGAGGGACAUCAGCAUGCAUUCUCUUGGGCAAAUGAUUGGCAGACUCUUUCAGGAUAUCGGUGAAUUGAAUGUCGAGUUUAACCACAAUACUAAUAUGUAAGUAUUCCCACCCUGAUAGGCUAGACAAAUUAGAAGAACAUGAUAUAGACAGUACAAACCAGAGAAUUGCUACUCCAUGUUUUCAACAUAACAAUACAUGAAGUAUUUAGUCUUGAACACUGGACACCAUUUAGUGUCCUAAGCAGGCCAACAUACCGAACAAAAGUAAAAGGUUUGUUAGGUAUAAAACCAAAUUCAGAUAUUUGUUGCGCAUAAUGUUUCCUCACCUGCAAUUGCAAACAUCACCAGACCAUCUACACUAAUUGCCUUAUUGGGUAGAUGGGUAGAUCAAUUGCAAAUUGUUUCACACUCAAUUUUGUUCUGUGUGGUUAGUGGAACCGAAGUGAUAAACAAACUGAAGCGUUGGUUCUGUGUGGUUACUGGAACAUGUUUAUAGACUUGAAUCAUCAGACAACAUACUUUUACUACUGAAUGUCAUCCUUACCUAACUAAAAAACACUGUUUUUUGUGUCAAGUAGUUAUAUGUAUUCACUCAUCGGCGUUUUACUACAAGUAGGCCAAGUAAUGGUUGCAAUUCAAGGAACAAACUACUACUUAGCACAACACCUAACUUGAAUCAAACACAUCAGUUCCAACAGAUAGGGAUAUCAUCUGACCUUAAUUCGAUCUCUUUGACAUAAUCUCGACAACAGUUGAUAUAUUCUCUGUGUAUGAGAUCCUGAAACACCAUUGUAUAUGCGAUAAGAAGGAUGAUGGAAGCGCGUACUAAACCAAGUCAAAGUAGCAGAAUGCAUUAUCUGAUCCUACAUUUUUGAGGUGCCAUUAUUUAGCUGAACUGAGAAAUCACCCUUGGUCUCUACUUUUGAUUUGACAAAAAGAUUCCUAAACUUUCAUCUGCAGAUACGUUUAGCAUAGUCUCUAACUUUGUUUCAAUCCUGAUAUGAAGAUUUAAACAAUUAUCUUGCCAAUUCACUUCACAUGCAAUGCAAACCUAACUAAGACGAUUUUUUUGGAGCCAACUAACCGUAUCUUUUGAGGUGUCAUUAUUUGGACCUGUCUGGCGGAGCCAUUUUGCUUCCCCGCUACUGGCGAACUGAUCAAAUAAUCCAAGUGUGCUUCCCAUAGAGAUUUCCGUCAACACUCCAGCCCGUGAGUCUCACCUCAAACCGGACAGAGCACCAUCGCGAACUGCACAAGAACAGUUUCCAGACCAGCAAGGUUCAAGCCAUUCUAGGCCAGUUGACAUUGCACGAAUCAGGCAAGGAUCGCUGGAAAACACAAUUGAUCGGCUGAACACCAGAGAUAUGCUUCGAAGACGAAAAUGCAAUGUUACUGAUGUCUUCCAUUGCGAGAUGUGCCCAACCAGGCGACUUGAGGACUGCAGCACCUUUUUCUCCAGUGCAAUUAUAGUUCCCGGAUAUGAAAUUAUUUACAAAUUGGCUGGGGCCAGGGAACAACAAUGGAGCAGCUGGUUGAUAAUGCCAAGAGAAACUUUAGUGAGCCUUUCUUUCUUGAAGUCAUAAUCAUUUCUUGUUGGCAUAUAUGGGAGCACAGAAACUUGGCUAUCUUUGAAAAAAUACUUGCAAUAUUCAGAGCAUGGAAAGGGACCUUCGUUCAUGA